CGAGGUGUAGCGCAGUUUGGUAGCGCGCUUGGUUCGGGACCAAGAGGUCGUGGGUUCAAGUCCCGUCACCUCGACCA
rnacentral:tRNA from 11 species